GGAACGCCAGCGACCCCAGCAGCGCUGCGGACGGUGCUGGCCGUGGCCGCUGCGGCCCCCGUGUCCAGGUGGGCCAGGACGCAGCCUCUGGGCGCCGUCGCUUUUCCAGCAUCGCAGAGGCAAAAGCGUGGCAGUGGGACCCAAAAGGGCUCACCCUUCAGAGGACAAUGACUUUUACAUCAACUACAAGGACAUCGACCUGGCUUCCCAGCCUGUCUACUGUAACCUGCAGUCACUGGGCCAGGCCCCAAUGGAUGAAGAGGAGUACGUGAUCCCCGGGCACUGAGCCUAAGAUGUCCUAACCUCCACCCAGAACCCCUUCAGUCCCUGCUGGGUGACUCAGGGCGUCCUAACGCCUCCAUGGCCUCAGUUUCCCCAUCUGAAGAAUGGGUACAGGAAAGGAUUGUCCUUGAGGCCCCAGGAAGCUCUGCCGCCCCCUCCCUGUCCCUCAUGCCGCUCCUCAGCUCCCUCAGCUCCUAGAGGGGGAAGAGGAGAGACCCCCAACAAGGGGACAGGACGGUCACUGUGCCAAUCCUGUCAUCACCCUCCUGUGGAUGUACAGGCAGUGCUCAAUAAAUGCUUCGAGGCUGAUGAGGCUGCUGGCUCAGGGUGCGUGGGUUCCUCAAGGUGGGGAUUUCUGAGUUCUAAGACCAAGUCUCCAUCUGAGACUCCCAAAUUGCUCCCCACCUCCCAUCCCUGUUUUUUUUUGUUGUUGUUGUUUGUUUGUUUGUUUUUGAAACUGAGUGUCACUCUGUCACCCAGGCUGGAGUGCAAUGCUGCGGUCUCAGCUCACUGCAACCUCCGCCUCCUGGGUUCAAGUGAUUCUCCUGCCUCAGCCUCCUGAGUAGCUGGGAUUACAGCACCCGCCACCAUGCCGAGCUAAUUUUUGUAUUUAUAAUAGAGAUGGGGUUUCGCCAUGUUGGCCAGGCUGGUCUCGAACUCCUGACCUCAAGCGAUCUGCCCGCCUCGGCCUCCUGAAGUGCUGGGAUUACAGGCGUGGCCACUGCGCCCAGGCACAUUCCUCCCUUCUGCCCCUCUCAGGGCCCCUUCCCAGGUCCCUGAUCUCCAGGCUUGGCCUCCAGAGCAGCCCACACCAACCCCAAAAUAAAAAAAUGUAUAUAUUCCUUUA
rnacentral:lncRNA from 1 species